rnacentral:rRNA from 1 species
GUGGGGAACCGUGCCCCACUAGUCUGGGAUACCACUUGGAAACAGGUGCUAAUACCGGAUAAGAAAGACAGAUCGCAUGAUCAGCUUUUAAAAGGCGGCGUAAGCUGUCGCUAUGGGAUGGCCCCGCGGUGCAUUAGCUAGUUGGUAAGGUAAAGGCUUACCAAGGCGAUGAUGCAUAGCCGAGUUGAGAGACUGAUCGGCCACAUUGGGACUGAGACACGGCCCAAACUCCUACGGGAGGCAGCAGCG